AAGACUAUAGACCUGCGGAGUACCUGCGGAGGGAUCAUCAUUGAAAACCAUAUUUGACAAGAGGAUUGUUUGAGGGGGGAGGGGGAUAGAAACUCUGCAUUUUGUUCCCUGAGCUUCUUGGACAGCCUCUUGGACAAACAACCAAUCUACAUGACUGGAAAACACACACACACAGUGAUUUGGCUUGGUGCACACAAGUUCUUGUCUGACAAGUGGCUUGCUGAUUUGGAGCAUGAUAAC
rnacentral:misc_RNA from 1 species